CGGAAGGAUCAUUAACCGAGUUUUGAACGGGUUGUAGCUGGCCUCCCGAGGCAUGUGCACACCCUGCUCAUCCGCUCUACACCUGUGCACUUAUUGUAGGUUGGCGUGGGCCUCAGGCUUCCGGGUCUGUGGCAUUCUGCCGACCUAUGUAACACUACAAACUCUUGAAGUAUCAGAAUGUAAUCGCGUCUAACGCAUCUAUAUACAACUUUCAGCAACGGAUCUCUUGGCUCUCGCAUCGAUGAAGAACGCAGCGAAAUGCGAUAAGUAAUGUGAAUUGCAGAAUUCAGUGAAUCAUCGAAUCUUUGAACGCACCUUGCGCUCCUUGGUAUUCCGAGGAGCAUGCCUGUUUGAGUGUCAUGGAAUUCUCAACCCAUACAUCCUUGUGGUAUAUGGGCUUGGACUUGGAGGCUUGCUGGCUAUCACUAGUCGGCUCCUCUCGAAUGCAUUAGCUUGAUUCCGUGCGGAUCGGCUCUCAGUGUGAUAAUUGUCAACGCUGUGACCGUGAAGCGUUUGGAGAGCUUCUAAUCGUCCCGUAUGGGACAACUUCUUGACAUCUGACCUCAAAUCAGGUAGGACUACCCGCUGAACUUAAGCAUA
rnacentral:rRNA from 1 species